CAUCAGGCUAGAGCCUGAGUCAGUGAUGGACACGGAAAAAAAACUGCUCUGUUCGCCAGCAUACCACAGAUAAAACACCCGUAAAGUUAAAUUGUCCAUUGGAGGGCUGCCCUGCCAGAAAUAUUGCCCGACUGGAUCGACACUUGCACAGGAUUCACGAUAUUCAGAUAGUCAACCCAGAGUAUGCUGCACUCAUGUCCAAGGCUAAAGCUACAGUUGACCGAAGGUCCACAAGCAAUGUCACUGAUAAUUGGAUGCAGGAGGAGCCGGAGGAAAGACAUAAGUCGACCGAGAAAAUGCAUACUCUCAGUUCAGACCCGGGUGUUCACCAAGAGUCGGCUCCGCUGACUUUAAUGCCCUCGGGAAGGGAGCCAGCAUGUACAAAAACGCUGCCGACUGUCACAGGGCUGCGACGACAGCUACGAGCCACAGAGGACACCUCGGCAGCUACUGGGACUGGCUCGGUACGCCCAGAGAGUAGCACAUCUUGUAGCGGCACAUACCUGUCGCCGUCCUCAACAUCUGAAGAUGAUGAUUCCUCCUCCUCCUCCUCCUCCUCCUAUACAGAGCAUGGACCUUCAAGCCCCGAGCCAAGAAGCCAACGUGACCAUGAGUUCAGACUCUGUAUGUGUGUGUGUGUGUGUGUGUGUGUGUAACCCGUUUUUUAUUUUCCUGUGCCUUUCAGCCAAAGCGCUUCAGCUGUACCGAGCGUUUCUGUCAGGACCGCUACCCACUGCAAAGGGCCGGGACAACACGAAACAGGCGGUUCAGCAUAUCCGACUAUUCUUGCAACACAUGGCCAGGUUACCAGAGGGGCCAGUCAGGAACGACUUGCGGUUCUUGCGCCAUGCCUCACGGAGCCAGUCGUGGUUCGAUGAGUUGAUGAGAUCAGGAUUGAAACCUACCACGGUCCACAGUUACCUACAGGACGUACUUUCUUUCCUGCGGUACCUGCAUGAGGCUGACUUAAGCCACGUAAAACUUUCUGAACGGAACAUACGCUCGUUAAUGUUCCUCCUCAAAUCGUUCAGAAAGCAGGGGAAAAGGCAACUCUCGCUGCACCGUCAAUUGGUACAAGACCAUGG